GUGAAAAGCACUUCGAACAGAAGAGUGAAAUAGUCCCUGAACCCAUACGCCUACAAGCUGUCGGAGCCGCUUCGUGCGGUGACGGCGUGCCUUUUGCAUAAUGAGCCUACGAGUUACUCAUCACCAGCGAGGUUAAGUACUUCAGGUACGUAAGCCGAAGCGAAAGCGAGUCUGAAUAGGGCGUCAAGUUGGUGGUGGUAGACGCGAAACCUUAGUGAUCUACCCAUGGGCAGGGUGAAGGUUUGGUAACACAAACUGGAGGCCCGAACCGGUAAACGUUGAAAAGUUUUCGGAUGACCUGUGGGUAGGGGUGAAAGGCCAAUCAAACUGGGAAAUAGCUCGUACUCUCCGAAAUGCAUUUAGGUGCAGCCUCUGUUGUUUUGUUCUAGAGGUAGAGCUACUGAUUGGAUGCGAGGGCUUCACCGCCUAUCAAAUCCGGCCAAACUCCGAAUGCUAGAACAUGAAGACAGGGAGUGAGCCAGCGGGUGCUAAGGUCCGUUGACGAAAGAGGGAGAACUCAGACCAUCAGCUAAGGUCCCCAAUUAUAUGCUAAGUUGGAAUAAAAACGGGGUGGGACUGCUUAGACAGCUAGGAUGUUGGCUUGGAAGCAGCCAUUCAUUUAAAGAGUGCGUAACAGCUCACUAGUCGAGCGGUCCUGCAUGGAUAAUACGCGGGCAUAAGCAUAUAACCGAAGCUAUGGGAUUGUAGAUGAUACAAUCGGUAGGAGAGCAUUCCAUUCAGCAUAGAAGCAGUAUCGUGAGGUAUUGUGGAGCGGAUGGAAAAGCAAAUGUAGGCAUAAGUAACGAUAAUGCGGGUGAGAACCCCGCACGCCGAAAGAUCAAGGAUUCCCCGGCAAUGUCAAUCAUCCGGGGGUAAGUCGGAUCCUAAGGGUAAGCCGAGUGGCGAUCCCGAUGGCAAACAGGUUAAUAUUCCUGUACUGAUCAUAACUGCGAUGCAGCGACGCAGAGGUGACACUGCUGCGUACUGACGGAAUAGUACGUUGAAACCCGUAUUCUUUGAUACCGGUAGUGAAGCACGCCGGUAGAGAUGAAAGGUGAUAGUACCGCAAUGCUUCGGUUGCGCGGAUAAUGCAGGUAAGCUGACUGCCAAGAAAACCUGCUAAGCUUCAGGUAAUGAUCAUCCGUACUGUAAACGGACACACGUGAUCAGGUAGAAAAUACUAAGGCGCUCGAGAGAUUCAUGGUUAAGGAACUAGGCAAAAUGGUCCUGUAACUUCGGGAUAAAGGACGCUCUUGUGAAAGAGCCGCAGAUAAUAGGCCCAGGCGACUGUUUACCAAAAACACAUGGCUAUGCUAAUUCGCAAGAAGAUGUAUAUGGCCUGACACCUGCCCGGUGCCGGAAGGUUAAGAGGAGAGCUCAGAGGUAACUCGAAGGUUUGAAUUGAAGCCCCGGUAAACGGCGGCCGUAACUAUAACGGUCCUAAGGUAGCGAAAUUCCUUGUCGGGUAAGUUCCGACCUGCACGAAUGGUGUAACGAUCUGGGUACUGUCUCAACCAUGAGCUCGGUGAAAUUGUAGUUCCGGUGAAGAUGCCGGAUACCCGCAACGGGACGGAAAGACCCCGUGAACCUUUACUGCAGCUUUGCAUUGAUUUUGGGUAACAGAUGUGUAGGAUAGGUCGGAGGCUUUGAUGCUGCGUCGUCAGGCGUAGAGUAGCCGUCGUUGAAAUACGACCCUUUUGUUAUCUGAGGUCUAAUCCCGUUAGGGAGACAUUGCAUGGUGGGUAGUUUGACUGGGGUGGUCGCCUCCAAAAGUGUAACGGAGGCUUCUCAAGGUACCCUCAAGGCGUUUGGUAAUCGUCUGCAGAGUGCAAUGGCAUAAGGGUGCUUGACUGUGAGACCGACACGUCGAUCAGGUUGGAAACAAGAGCAUAGUGAUCCGGUGGUUCCGCAUGGAAGGGCCAUCG
rnacentral:rRNA from 1 species